UAACACGUGGAUAACCUGCCUUAUACUGGGGGAGUAACAGCCAGAAAUGGCUGCUAAUACCGCAUAAGCGCACGGCGCCGCAUGGCGCAGUGUGAAAAACUCCGGUGGUAUAAGAUGGAUCCGCGCCUGAUUAGCUAGUUGGCGGGGCANCGGCCCACCAAGGCGACGAUCAGUAGCCGGCCUGAGAGGGCGACCGGCCACAUUGGGACUGAGACACGGCCCAAACUCCUACGGAAGGCAGCAG
rnacentral:rRNA from 1 species